AGCUUUGCGCAGUGGCAGUAUCGUAGCCAAUGAGGUUUAUCCGAGGCGCGAUUAUUGCUAUAAAUGUAAACUUCUUUUGAGU
rnacentral:snRNA from 1 species